rnacentral:rRNA from 1 species
AGGACGAACGCUGGCGGCGUGCUUAACACAUGCAAGUCGAGCGGAAAGGCCCUUCGGGGUACUCGAGCGGCGAACGGGUGAGUAACACGUGAGCAACCUGCCCUUAGCUCUGGGAUAGCUCCGGGAAACCGGAAUUAAUACCGGAUAUGACACCGGCCGACAUCGGCCGGUGUGAAAAGAAUUUCGGCUAGGGAUGGACUCGCGGCCUAUCAGCUUGUUGGUGGGGUAAUGGCCUACCAAGGCGACGACGGGUAGCCGGCCUGAGAGGGCGACCGGCCACACCUGGGACUGAGACACGGCCCAGACUCCUACGGGAGGCAGCAGUGGGGAAUCUUGCGCAAUGGGCGAAAGCCUGACGCAGCGACGCCGCGUGGGGGAUGAAGGCCCUAGGGUUGUAAAGCUCUUUUGUGCGGGAAGAUAAUGACGGUACCGCAAGAAUAAGCCCGGCUAACUUCGCGCCAGCAGCCGC